rnacentral:rRNA from 1 species
CCUACGGGAGGCAGCAGUAGGGAAUCUUCGACAAUGGGCGCAAGUCUGAUCCAGCUAUUCCGCGUGUGUGAAGACGGUUUUCGGGUCGUAAAACACUUUUGUAAAAGACGAAAAGUCUCUUGAUUAUAUCAACAGAUGCUGACGGUACUUUAAGAAUAAGCCACGGCUAACUACGUGCCAGCAGCCGCGGUAAUACGUAGGGUGCGAGCGUUAAUCGGAAUUAUUGGGCGUAAAGCGAGUGCAGGCGGUUUUGCAAGAUGGAUGUGAAAGCCCCGGGCUUAACCUGGGAGAGUCAUAGGUAACUGGGAGACUAGAGUGCGUAAGAGGGGAGUGGAAUUCCAAGUGUAGCAGUGAAAUGCGUAGAUAUAUGGAGGAACACCGGUGGCGAAGGCGGCCCCCUGGUACGUAACUGACGCUCAUACACGAAAGCGUGGGGAGCAAACAGGAUUAGAUACCCGUGUAGUC